UACGGAAGGUCCAGGCGUUAUCCGGAUUUAUUGGGUUUAAAGGGAGCGUAGGCGGACGAUUAAGUCAGCUGUGAAAGUUUGCGGCUCAACCGUAAAAUUGCAGUUGAAACUGGUUGUCUUGAGUGCACGCAGGGAUGUUGGAAUUCAUGGUGUAGCGGUGAAAUGCUUAGAUAUCAUGAAGAACUCCGAUCGCGAAGGCAUAUGUCUGGAGUGCAACUGACGCUGAGGCUCGAAAGUGCGGGUAUCGAACAGG
rnacentral:rRNA from 1 species